UACGUAGGGUGCGAGCGUUAAUCGGAAUUACUGGGCGUAAAGCGUGCGCAGGCGGCGCGUUAAGACAGGUGUGAAAGCCCCGAGCUUAACUUGGGAAUUGCGCUUGUGACUGGCGUGCUGGAGUGUGGCAGAGGGAGGUGGAAUUCCACGUGUAGCAGUGAAAUGCGUAGAGAUGUGGAGGAACACCGAUGGUGAAGGCAGCCUCCUGGGCCAGCACUGACGCUCAUGCACGAAAGCGUGGGGAGCAAACAGG
rnacentral:rRNA from 1 species